UACGGGGGGGGCAAGCGUUGUUCGGAAUUACUGGGCGUAAAGGGCUCGUAGGUGGCCAACUAAGUCGGACGUGAAAGCCCCGGGCUCAACCUGGGAAUUGCAUUCGAGACUGCAUUGCUGGAGUACGGAAGAGGAGGGCGGAAUUCCCGGUGUAGCGGUGAAAUGCGUAGAUAUCGGGAGGAACAUCAGUGGCGAAGGCGGCCCUCUGGUCCAGUACUGACACUCAAGUGCGAAAGCGUGGGGAGCAAACAGG
rnacentral:rRNA from 1 species